rnacentral:rRNA from 1 species
UACGUAGGGUGCAAGCGUUGUCCGGAAUUAUUGGGCGUAAAGAGCUCGUAGGCGGUUCGUCGCGUCGGCUGUGAAAUCCCGAGGCUCAACCUCGGGUCUGCAGUCGAUACGGGCGGGCUGGAGUUCGGCAGGGGAGACUGGAAUUCCUGGUGUAGCGGUGAAAUGCGCAGAUAUCAGGAGGAACACCGGUGGCGAAGGCGGGUCUCUGGGCCGAUACUGACGCUGAGGAGCGAAAGCGUGGGGAGCAAACAGG